rnacentral:tRNA from 1 species
GCUUUCGUGGUGUAGUGGUCAGCACGCUCGGCGCGUAUUCGAGAAGUCCGCGGUUCGAGUCCCGGCGAGGGUA